UACGUAGGUCCCGAGCGUUGUCCGGAUUUAUUGGGCGUAAAGCGAGCGCAGGUGGUUUAUUAAGUCUGGUGUAAAAGGCAGUGGCUCAACCAUUGUAUGCAUUGGAAACUGGAGGACUUGAGUGCAGAAGGGGAGAGUGGAAUUCCAUGUGUAGCGGUGAAAUGCGUAGAUAUAUGGAGGAACACCGGUGGCGAAAGCGGCUCUCUGGUCUGUAACUGACGCUGAGGCUCGAAAGCGUGGGGAGCAAACAGG
rnacentral:rRNA from 1 species